UACGUAGGGUCCGAGCGUUGUCCGGAAUUACUGGGCGUAAAGAGCUCGUAGGUGGUUUGUCGCGUUGUUCGUGAAAACUCACAGCUUAACUGUGGGCGUGCGGGCGAUACGGGCAGACUUGAGUACUGCAGGGGAGACUGGAAUUCCUGGUGUAGCGGUGAAAUGCGCAGAUAUCAGGAGGGAACACCGAUGGCGAAGGGCAGGUCUCUGGGCAAUUAACUGACGCUGGAGGAGCGAAAGCAUCGGGGAGCGAACAGG
rnacentral:rRNA from 1 species